GACGAACGCUGGCGGCGUGCUUAACACAUGCAAGUCGAACGGAAAGGCCCUGCUUUUGUGGGGUGCGCGAGUGGCGAACGGGUGAGUAACACGUGAGUAACCUGCCCUUGACUUUGGGAUAACUUCAGGAAACUGGGGAUAAUACCGGAUAGGAGCUCCUGCUGCAUGGUGGGGGUUGGAAAGUUUCGGCGGUUGGGGAUGGACUCGCGGCUUAUCAGCUUGUUGGUGGGGUAGUGGCUUACCAAGGCUUUGACGGGUAGCCGGCCUGAGAGGGUGACCGGGCCCAUUGGGACUGCGAGACGGCCCAGACGCCUACUGGAGGCAGCAGUGGGGAAUAUUGCACAAUGGGCCGAAGUCUGAUGCAGCAACGCCGCGUGCGGGAUGACGGCCUUCGGGUUGUAAACCGCUUUCGCCUGUGACGAAGCGUGAGUGACGGUAAUGGGUAAAGAAGCACCGGCUAACUACGUG
rnacentral:rRNA from 1 species